CGGACCUGGAUUAAGUAGAAAAAACAGUUAUGUGAUUCAGUCCCAUGCAGGAGCCUUUGCUUAUUUCCCACAACAUGCAACUGAACAUGCAAUAUAUCUGAGGGUCUGCCUGUCUUGACAACUACAAUAUGAAUAAGCAGAUCAAUGGAUCUCCAGGACUUUCCCAGUUGUGAAAAAGUUAGCCCCCUACCCAGGCGGAGGGUGGUGACUGCAUGCUGACCACAAGCACGUGGACCCCAGCCUGGCUGGAACCAGAAGGUUGAUGAUUAAGAUUCCAGAAGCAUCACCCUGUUACCUCACCACCCACCAAUCAGAAGAAAGUCAUGCACCCUGCAACCCUCACUGAAAACAUGGCCUUUAAAAACCCUUCUGUGAAAGCCAUCAGGGAGUUGGGGUCUUUUGAGCAUGAGCUGCCUGUUCUCCUUUCUGGGUGCCCUGCCGUAAACGCUGGUCUUUCCUUCACCACUGCCCAGUGUCAGUAGACUGGCUUUGCUGUGC